rnacentral:tRNA from 2 species
GGGGCCGUAGUCUAGCUUGGUAGGAUGCCGGCCUGGGGCGCCGGUGAGCCCGGGUUCAAAUCCCGGCGGCCCCA